GGGUUGUGAGGUUAAGCGACUAAGCGUACACGGUGGAUGCCCUGGCAGUCAGAGGCGAUGAAGGACGUGCUAAUCUGCGAUAAGCGUCGGUAAGGUGAUAUGAACCGUUAUAACCGGCGAUUUCCGAAUGGGGAAACCCAGUGUGUUUCGACACACUAUCAUUAACUGAAUCCAUAGGUUAAUGAGGCGAACCGGGGGAACUGAAACAUCUAAGUACCCCGAGGAAAAGAAAUCAACCGAGAUUCCCCCAGUAGCGGCGAGCGAACGGGGAGCAGCCCAGAGCCUGAAUCAGUGUGUGUGUUAGUGGAAGCGUCUGGAAAGGCGCGCGAUACAGGGUGACAGCCCCGUACACAAAAAUGCACAUACUGUGAGCUCGAUGAGUAGGGCGGGACACGUGGUAUCCUGUCUGAAUAUGGGGGGACCAUCCUCCAAGGCUAAAUACUCCUGACUGACCGAUAGUGAACCAGUACCGUGAGGGAAAGGCGAAAAGAACCCCGGCGAGGGGAGUGAAAAAGAACCUGAAACCGUGUACGUACAAGCAGUGGGAGCACGCUUAGGCGUGUGACUGCGUACCUUUUGUAUAAUGGGUCAGCGACUUAUAUUCUGUAGCAAGGUUAACCGAAUAGGGGAGCCGAAGGGAAACCGAGUCUUAACUGGGCGUUAAGUUGCAGGGUAUAGACCCGAAACCCGGUGAUCUAGCCAUGGGCAGGUUGAAGGUUGGGUAACACUAACUGGAGGACCGAACCGACUAAUGUUGAAAAAUUAGCGGAUGACUUGUGGCUGGGGGUGAAAGGCCAAUCAAACCGGGAGAUAGCUGGUUCUCCCCGAAAGCUAUUUAGGUAGCGCCUCGUGAAUUCAUCUCCGGGGGUAGAGCACUGUUUCGGCAAGGGGGUCAUCCCGACUUACCAACCCGAUGCAAACUGCGAAUACCGGAGAAUGUUAUCACGGGAGACACACGGCGGGUGCUAACGUCCGUCGUGAAGAGGGAAACAACCCAGACCGCCAGCUAAGGUCCCAAAGUCAUGGUUAAGUGGGAAACGAUGUGGGAAGGCCCAGACAGCCAGGAUGUUGGCUUAGAAGCAGCCAUCAUUUAAAGAAAGCGUAAUAGCUCACUGGUCGAGUCGGCCUGCGCGGAAGAUGUAACGGGGCUAAACCAUGCACCGAAGCUGCGGCAGCGACACUAUGUGUUGUUGGGUAGGGGAGCGUUCUGUAAGCCUGUGAAGGUGUGCUGUGAGGCAUGCUGGAGGUAUCAGAAGUGCGAAUGCUGACAUAAGUAACGAUAAAGCGGGUGAAAAGCCCGCUCGCCGGAAGACCAAGGGUUCCUGUCCAACGUUAAUCGGGGCAGGGUGAGUCGACCCCUAAGGCGAGGCCGAAAGGCGUAGUCGAUGGGAAACAGGUUAAUAUUCCUGUACUUGGUGUUACUGCGAAGGGGGGACGGAGAAGGCUAUGUUGGCCGGGCGACGGUUGUCCCGGUUUAAGCGUGUAGGCUGGUUUUCCAGGCAAAUCCGGAAAAUCAAGGCUGAGGCGUGAUGACGAGGCACUACGGUGCUGAAGCAACAAAUGCCCUGCUUCCAGGAAAAGCCUCUAAGCAUCAGGUAACAUCAAAUCGUACCCCAAACCGACACAGGUGGUCAGGUAGAGAAUACCAAGGCGCUUGAGAGAACUCGGGUGAAGGAACUAGGCAAAAUGGUGCCGUAACUUCGGGAGAAGGCACGCUGAUAUGUAGGUGAAGUCCCUCGCGGAUGGAGCUGAAAUCAGUCGAAGAUACCAGCUGGCUGCAACUGUUUAUUAAAAACACAGCACUGUGCAAACACGAAAGUGGACGUAUACGGUGUGACGCCUGCCCGGUGCCGGAAGGUUAAUUGAUGGGGUCAGCGCAAGCGAAGCUCUUGAUCGAAGCCCCGGUAAACGGCGGCCGUAACUAUAACGGUCCUAAGGUAGCGAAAUUCCUUGUCGGGUAAGUUCCGACCUGCACGAAUGGCGUAAUGAUGGCCAGGCUGUCUCCACCCGAGACUCAGUGAAAUUGAACUCGCUGUGAAGAUGCAGUGUACCCGCGGCAAGACGGAAAGACCCCGUGAACCUUUACUAUAGCUUGACACUGAACAUUGAGCCUUGAUGUGUAGGAUAGGUGGGAGGCUUUGAAGUGUGGACGCCAGUCUGCAUGGAGCCGACCUUGAAAUACCACCCUUUAAUGUUUGAUGUUCUAACGUUGACCCGUAAUCCGGGUUGCGGACAGUGUCUGGUGGGUAGUUUGACUGGGGCGGUCUCCUCCUAAAGAGUAACGGAGGAGCACGAAGGUUGGCUAAUCCUGGUCGGACAUCAGGAGGUUAGUGCAAUGGCAUAAGCCAGCUUGACUGCGAGCGUGACGGCGCGAGCAGGUGCGAAAGCAGGUCAUAGUGAUCCGGUGGUUCUGAAUGGAAGGGCCAUCGCUCAACGGAUAAAAGGUACUCCGGGGAUAACAGGCUGAUACCGCCCAAGAGUUCAUAUCGACGGCGGUGUUUGGCACCUCGAUGUCGGCUCAUCACAUCCUGGGGCUGAAGUAGGUCCCAAGGGUAUGGCUGUUCGCCAUUUAAAGUGGUACGCGAGCUGGGUUUAGAACGUCGUGAGACAGUUCGGUCCCUAUCUGCCGUGGGCGCUGGAGAACUGAGGGGGGCUGCUCCUAGUACGAGAGGACCGGAGUGGACGCAUCACUGGUGUUCGGGUUGUCAUGCCAAUGGCACUGCCCGGUAGCUAAAUGCGGAAGAGAUAAGUGCUGAAAGCAUCUAAGCACGAAACUUGCCCCGAGAUGAGUUCUCCCUGACUCCUUGAGAGUCCUGAAGGAACGUUGAAGACGACGACGUUGAUAGGCCGGGUGUGUAAGCGCAGCGAUGCGUUGAGCUAACCGGUACUAAUGAACCGUGAGGCUUAACCUUACAACGCCGAAGGUGUUU
rnacentral:rRNA from 1 species